AUUGAACGCUGGCGGCAUGCUUUACACAUGCAAGUCGAACGGUAACAGGUUAAGCUGACGAGUGGCGAACGGGUGAGUAAUGCAUCGGAACGUGCCCGAUCGUGGGGGAUAACGCAGCGAAAGCUGCGCUAAUACCGCAUACGAUCUGAGGAUGAAAGCGGGGGACCGUAAGGCCUCGCGCGAUCGGAGCGGCCGACGUCAGAUUAGGUAGUUGGUGGGGUAAAGGCCCACCAAGCCGACGAUCUGUAGCUGGUCUGAGAGGACGACCAGCCACACUGGGACUGAGACACGGCCCAGACUCCUACGGGAGGCAGCAGUGGGGAAUUUUGGACAAUGGGCGAAAGCCUGAUCCAGCAAUGCCGCGUGCAGGAAGAAGGCCUUCGGGUUGUAAACUGCUUUUGUACGGAGCGAAAAGGUCCUUUCUAAUACAAGGGGCUCAUGACGGUACCGUAAGAAUAAGCACCGGCUAACUACGUGCCAGCCGCCGCAGUAAAAC
rnacentral:rRNA from 1 species